AUUGAACGCUGGCGGCAGGCCUAACACAUGCAAGUCGAGCGGAUGAAGGGAGCUUGCUCCUGGAUUCAGCGGCGGACGGGUGAGUAAUGCCUAGGAAUCUGCCUGGUAGUGGGGGAUAACGUCCGGAAACGGGCGCUAAUACCGCAUACGUCCUGAGGGAGAAAGUGGGGGAUCUUCGGACCUCACGCUAUCAGAUGAGCCUAGGUCGGAUUAGCUAGUCGGUGGGGUAAAGGCCUACCAAGGCGACGAUCCGUAACUGGUCUGAGAGGAUGAUCAGUAACAUUUGAAUGUUGACGCGCUCAAGGCUCCUUCGGGAGGCAGCAGUGGGGAUUAUUCGACUAUUGGCGAGAGCCUGAUCCAACCGUCCCGCGUGUGUGAAGAAGGUCUUCGGCUUGUUAAGCACUUUAAGUUGGGAGGAAGGGCAGUAAGUUAAUACCUUGCUGUUUUGACGUUCCCGACAGAAUAUGCGCCGGCUAACUUCGUG
rnacentral:rRNA from 1 species